rnacentral:lncRNA from 1 species
GGGUGAGUCAGGUGGGCAGGCGUGUGUAUGGGUGUGCAUAUGGGCGAGUCAGGUGGACAGGCAUGUGUGUGGGAGAGUCAGGUGAACAGGAUUGCUUAUGGGCUAGUCAGGUGGACAGGUGUGCGUAUGGGUGUGCCUAUGGGAGAGUCAGGUGGACAGGAUUGCGUAUAGCCGGAUCAGGUGGGCAGGCAUGCGUAUGAGCGAGUCAGGUGGGCAGACAUGCGUAUGGGCGGGUCAGGUGGACAGGCGUGUGUAUAGGCAGGUCAGGUGGACAGGCGUGCAUAUGGGUAUGUGUAUGGGCGGGUCAGGUGGGCAGGCGUGCAUACGGGCGGGUCAGGUGGAC